rnacentral:rRNA from 1 species
UACGUAGGGUGCGAGCGUUAUUCGGAAUUACUGGGCGUAAAGCGUGCGCAGGCGGUCUGUUAAGACCGAUGUGAAAUCCCCGGGCUUAACCUGGGAACUGCAUUGGUGACUGGCAGGCUUUGAGUGUGGCAGAGGGAGGUAGAAUUCCACGUGUAGCAGUGAAAUGCGUAGAGAUGCGGAGGAAUACCGAUGGCGAAGGCAGCCUCCUGGGCCAACACUGACGCUCAUGCACGAAAGCGUGGGGAGCAAACAGG